GGUGAGAUGGCCGAGCGGUCUAAGGCGCCAGACUAAGGAACCACGUGGCCUUGCCACGAAGUAAUCUGGUCCGAAAGGGCGUGGGUUCGAAUCCCACUCUCAUCA